UUACAGUCGAGUUCGUAGAUCUUAGAUAUUGGAACGUCGAAGAAGAUAGGUCGUAUCGGUUCGCUAGUCGUAAGAACCAAACUCGUUUGUUAGUUAAUGUGCAGUCUUCCGUGUAUAUUUCCCAAAUAUGAUACAACUUAGAAUUUAUCUGAUUUGUUUCAAAAUUUUAUAAAACAAAUAUUGUUAUCUUUGAAUUUGAUUUGCUUUUAUCACAAUAAUUGUUUCUGGAAUUUCAAACACGCACACGACAAUAUUGAGGAGCCUUUCGACGAUACCUUCGCCUUGAAGUAGUUUCCUUCGCCGAGAAAAUGACCAUCCCAUUAAUUAAAUUCUUUUCUACUAUAAAUUCGAUUUUUCGUUGAAACAACCAUAAUCGCCGAAGUCCAACGAUGAUGAUGACGACGAUGAAGAAAGUAAUUUUCUUAUUUUGGUGAUACAGGAUCGCAGGAGCGUAUAUUAGAUGGAUUUUCAGUGAGAGAUCGUCGAUCAUAUAUACCUCUUUUCAACGAUGAGUCUCCAAGGAUCGAAAGUAACGAAAGCUUCAGAUAAGUUCGUCUUUUCGAGUCGAUUUAAAGGAUCUGUCAGGUUCUAGCGUUAAUAAUAAAGAGUAAAAGGAUGAUAAAAGCGAGGGGAAAGAGGAAUUGAAGGGAAGAGAUUUAUCUUCGUAUUAUAUAUAUAUAUAUAUAUAUAUAUA